UUGACCUCGGAUCAGGUAGGAUUACCCGCUGAACUUAAGCAUAUCAAUAAGCGGAGGAAAAGAAACCAACAGGGAUUGCCCCAGUAACGGCGAGUGAAGCGGCAACAGCUCAGAUUUGGAAUCUGGCCUUCGGGCCCGAGUUGUAAUCUGGAGAGGAUGCUUCUGGCGCGGUGCCUUCCGAGUUCCCUGGAACGGGACGCCGGAGAGGGUGAGAGCCCCGUACGGUUGGACACCUAGCCUCUGUGAAGCUCCUUCGACGAGUCGAGUAGUUUGGGAAUGCUGCUCAAAAUGGGAGGUAAAUUUCUUCUAAAGCUAAAUAUUGGCCAGAGACCGAUAGCGCACAAGUAGAGUGAUCGAAAGAUGAAAAGCACUUUGAAAAGAGAGUUAAAAAGUACGUGAAAUUGUUGAAAGGGAAGCGCCCGUGGCCAGACUUGCGCUGCGCGGACCACCCAGCGUUCUCGCUGGUGCACUCCGCGCGGCGCAGGCCAGCAUCGGUUUUCCUAGGGGGAUAAAGGUCGCGGGAACGUAGCUCCUCCGGGAGUGUUAUAGCCCGUGGCGUCAUGCCCCUGGGGGGACCGAGGACCGCGCUUCGGCAA
rnacentral:rRNA from 1 species